GAUGAACGCUGGCGGCGUGCCUAAUACAUGCAAGUCGAGCGAAUGGAUUAAGAGCUUGCUCUUAUGAAGUUAGCGGCGGACGGGUGAGUAACACGUGGGUAACCUGCCCAUAAGACUGGGAUAACUCCGGGAAACCGGGGCUAAUACCGGAUAACAUUUUGAACCGCAUGGUUCGAAAUUGAAAGGCGGCUUCGGCUGUCACUUAUGGAUGGACCCGCGUCGCAUUAGCUAGUUGGUGAGGUAACGGCUCACCAAGGCAACGAUGCGUAGCCGACCUGGCAGGGUGAGCGGCCACACUGUGACUGGGACACGGCCCAGACUCCGACGGGAGGCAGCAGUAGGGAAUCUUCCGCAAUGGACGAAAGUCUGACGGAGCAACGCCGCGUGAGUGAUGAAGGCUUUCGGGUCGUAAAACUCUGUUGUUAGGGAAGAACAAGUGCUAGUUGAAUAAGCUGGCACCUUGACGGUACCUAACCAGAAAGCCACGGCUAACUACGUGCCAGCCGCCGCCGUAA
rnacentral:rRNA from 1 species